rnacentral:rRNA from 1 species
GACGGAAGGUGCAAGCGUUGCUCGGAAUCACUGGGCGUAAAGGGUGCGUAGGCGGCUUCUUAAGUCUGGUGUGAAAGCCCAGGGCUCAGCUCUGGAAGUGCACUAGAAACUGGGGAGCUUGAGUACCGGAGGGGAGAGUGGAAUUCCUGGUGUAGCGGUGAAAUGCGUAGAUAUCUGGAGGAAUACCGGUGGCGAAGGCGGCAUCCUGGACCGGCAUUGACGCUGAGGAGCGAAAGCCAGGGGAGCAAACGGG